GGGGGAAAAAUUAAUAAAAAUUAUAAUUAAUAAAAAAAAUUUUAUUAAAAAAAAAUAUUUAAUGGGGGUUAAAGUAUUUUUAAUAGAAUAAAAUUAAAAAAUUUAUAGUUAAAUAGUAUUGUAAAAGAAAUUUGAAAUAAAAAAUAAUUUAGUUAAAAGUAAAUUUAAAUUAUUGUAUCUUGUGUAUCAGAGUUUAUUAAAUAAAAUUUAUUAUUUAAAAAAAUCUCGAAUUUAAAAGAGUUAAUUAAUUAAAAAAGUUAAUGUUGAAUAAUUAUUUUAAAUAAUUAAUUAGAAAUGAAAUGUUAAUCGUUUUUAAAUAUAUCUAGUUUUUUUAGAAAAAAAUUUAAUUUUAAAUUUAAAUAAUUUUAUAAUUGAUUAAUUAAUUAUAAAAAUUUAAAAUUUUAUAUAUUAAGGGAUAAGCUUUAAAUUAAAUAAUUAUAAUUAUAUUUAAUUAAAUUAAAAUUUUUAAAAUUUAUAUUGUUUAAAAAUUAUAAUUUAUUAUAAAAAAUUUUAAUUUAAAUAAAAUUUAAAUUAAAAUUUAAUUUUUUAUAAAAAAAAAAUUUUUUAAUUGUAAAAAAUUAGAAAAUAUGAUAAAAUUAGUAUAAUAUAAUUAAAAAUAAUAAAUUUAUUUAAAAAUAAAUUAAAGGAAUUCGGCAAAAAUUUAUAUUCACUUGUUUAUCAAAAACAUGUCUUUUUGAAUAAUAAUUUAAAGUCUAAUCUGCCCACUGAUUGAUAUUAAAGGGCUGCAGUAUAUUGACUGUACAAAGGUAGCAUAAUCAUUAGUCUUUUAAUUGAAGACUUGUAUGAAAGAUUUGAUGAAAUAUAAACUGUCUCUAUUAUAUUUAUAGAAAUUAAUUUUUUAGUUAAAAAGCUAAAAUUAAAUUAAAAGACGAGAAGACCCUAUAGAGUUUUAUAAUUAAUUUAAUUAUAAUUAAAUAUAUAAAUAUUUAUUAAAAUUAAAUUAAUUAUUAUAUUGGGGUGAUAGUAAAAUUAAAAUAACUUUUAUUAAAAAUAAAACAUUAAUAGGUGAAUAAAUGAUCCAUUAAUUAGUGAUUAAAAGAAAAAAUUACCUUAGGGAUAACAGCGUAAUAUUUUUUUUUAGUACAAAUAAAAAAAAAAGUUUGCGACCUCGAUGUUGGAUUAAGAUAAAAUUUAAAUGCAAAAGUUUAAAAUUUUGAUCUGUUCGAUCAUUAAAAUCUUACAUGAUCUGAGUUCAAACCGGUGUAAGCCAGGUUGGUUUCUAUCUUUAAUUAAUUAUAAUAUUUUAGUACGAAAGGAUCAAAUAUUAAAAAUAAUUUUAAUAUUUAGAAGAAUAUUAUUAAUAAUAAUAUA
rnacentral:rRNA from 1 species